rnacentral:lncRNA from 1 species
UCUGGCAAGUCACGAUAAUGGAUACCACUCCACUCUUCAGGCUCCAUUACUCUCUAGCAAGUCGUGACAACGAACACCACUCCACUCUCCGUAACAAACUCCACGUGGCUUUGAACGGUCCCUGACACCACUACUCUCUGUAACAAACUCCGUGCAGCUCUGAAUGACCCACUACCAGGCGGUUACAGACAUCGCUGUUAAUCAGUUACGCUCUCCGUCUAUAAAAAGGGACCCCCAGAUACGUUCUUCUCUAAGCUUUAAACUCUAUCUUGAAACUCUGCUAAAAUUUUCACUCAAGCACUCCAUUUCUGUUGAAGCAGAGUACUGACUUGAGCGUUGGAGGGUCUUGCCAGAGUACCCCCAACUUUGAUUUAGACUUUCCUUGCAGGUCCCGACGGUGGCCGCGGUCAUCCCAGCUCCAACUUCUCC